UAAAGAUUCAUCGCUGAUAGAUAGGCAUGCGUUCCAUUAGGCAGUUGGCGGGGUAACGGCCCACCAAACCGACGAUGGAUAGGGGUUCUGAGAGGAAGGUCCCCCACAUUGGUACUGAGACACGGACCAAACUCCUACGGGAGGCAGCAGUGAGGAACAUUGGUCAAUGGGCGCGAGCCUGAACCAGCCAAGUCGCGUGAGGGAUGAAGGUUCUAUGGAUCGUAAACCUCUUUUAUAAGGGAAUAAAGUGUGGGACGUGUCCUAUUUUGUAUGUACCUUAUGAAUAAGGAUCGGCUAACUCCGUGCCAGCAGCCGCGGUAAUACGGAGGAUCCGAGCGUUAUCCGGAUUUAUUGGGUUUAAAGGGUGCGUAGGCGGCCUUUUAAGUCAGCGGUGAAAGUCUGUGGCUCAACCAUAGAAUUGCCGUUGAAACUGGGGGGCUUGAGUAUGUUUGAGGCAGGCGGAAUGCGUGGUGUAGCGGUGAAAUGCUUAGAUAUCACGCAGAACCCCGAUUGCGAAGGCAGCCUGCCAAGCCAUGACUGACGCUGAUGCACGAAAGCGUGGGGAUCAAACAGGAUUAGAUACCCUGGUAGUCCACGCAGUAAACGAUGAUCACUAGCUGUUUGCGAUACAGUGUAA
rnacentral:rRNA from 1 species